rnacentral:rRNA from 1 species
UCUCUCUGAAUCUGCGUACGGCUCCGCAAACCAGUUGUAAACUAUAGCAAGCAAGCUCAGGGUUAACCUUCACGGGCCGGCUCGGGGCGAUAUGGAUAACCCUGGUAAUUCUGAGGCUAAUACAUGAGUGUAAACCCUGGAGGACCGGCUUCGGCUGGGAAUCUGGGGGAUGUGCGAUUGCAGGCUUGGUAACACCGGGAAAGGGCGCACGUUCAGAUCACGCUAAAAAGGUCGGGCUCCUUCGGGGGCCUGCCCCAGUGACUCUUGCUGUGUGCUUCUGACCUAUCAACUAGACGGCAGCGUAAGGGACAUGCUAUGGUGACAACGGGUACAGAGGAUUAGGGUUCGAUCCUGGAGAGUGGGCCUGAGAGAUCUCC